AAUUACAUAUAUUUUUCUAUUUCAGGUUUGCUUCCCAGAAAACAAAACUAAACUAGUUUUGUGGUUGCAAAGGAGCAAGACUUCACUAGAAAAUAGGAAAAAAGCCUCAGGAAAACCACAUCUCUCAGUCAUUCAAGUCCCUUCUUUGAGAGGUUUUGCAUCACUUUCAUCUUAUUGGGGCAUAAGGAAGGAAACCCCCAAUAUCAAAGACUGGAAGAAAGAUGGGCUUGAGGUGACUGAGUUUUUCCCUUGGGAUAUGGAAUGAGGAUUGAAGUAAAAGAGCAAGCUUUACUCCUUCAGGUCCUUUGCCAAAAGGCCAUUCUGUUUGAUGAAACUGAGAGGUGGAAAAAAAGAAAAUUUGCACACAUCAACAAGUUAGAACUCCAGCAAAAAUAUCAAGGGAUUUCAUCCUUGUCUACCCUAAAGAAUAACUGCUGGGAGAAAAAAGGUGUGUGUGUGUGUGUAUAUAUACUUCCAGAAUUUAUAUUUUUAAAUAUGUAUGUACCAAUAAAUACAUAUUCAUGUUGUUGAGGAAAGAUUUUGUAACAAACCUGUUCUCUUGUUUCCAUUAUCCACUUGAGUUUCUUGUUUAGUUCCGAUGAGAAAGAGAAACUUUCUGCUGACUGGAGCUUCUGUCUUUUUAAUAGCUGGACCAACACAAUGCUUCCUUGUGAUCUUUGAUACUUGAGAGAAAGGAUAGAAAAAUACGAACUAAAAGAAGAUUAAAGAAGUCAGAAAUGCUAAAGAAGAACAGAUCAAGUAUAUGCCUUUGGCCCAAGCUUGAAUACUCUUAGGAACAGAAAGAUGAAGCAGGAAAAGGAGGAUGCAUGUGAUCUAGCAAUUACACCGAGGUGCUGCCUCAGAGCACUCAGAGAAGGUUGUUUACAUAUAUUACAAAUAAUGAACCCUUACCCUGUGUGCGGGAGCUACCAGUCAGCCUACAGCAUCUGUACCAGCCUGGAGGGAUUUCAGAACAUACCAACUCAUUUUCUUCCAGUCACAAAGCAGCCACCAAUGGAAGCUCUGGAUUCAAACUGAUGAAAGGGGUAACUGAACCAAAUGAGGGAAUGACUCCACUUUAGAGAACAGAGCAGCAGAUCGGGCUCCUCACACACCCUCCUCACACAGAGCAGAGCAGUAGAGUCUGGAAAUGAGUAGUUAAAAGUUGAUUAAGUCCUAGACAUCUACUUCACCCAGAGCCAGAGCAUUAUCGGUGCAUUCACCCAAGUCACUACAGAGCCACUCCCAGAAUGUGCAGAAUAUUUCUUCUUAGGAAACUGUAUCACUCCUGUAUCAGCCAGAUGUAUCUGUAAGGACACAACUUCUAUCUUACUUCCACAGUGUGUAAGACCCAGCAUCAGGCCAAAGGAAGAAAGUUACAUUUAUGAGACGUCAUCCUCAUGUGAGCCUACAAUCAAGUACCUCUGUAAAUAUGACUGCCAGGAUUAAAGCUAAAGGAUUGCUUCUCAGGCAGCUGCGUGAGCUGCAGAGACAACAGCUGAGAGGUGUUUACCUGUCUUGUGAUGUUCAGUGAGAAACCUGUGCAAGGUUUCCUGCAUGGCCUCUGUCAGUCUCACCAGUGAAACAGAAGAGAGGAGUGAAGAAAAUCUGCCCGUCUUGGACUCCAGUUAAUGCCCAGGAGACUGUUCCUUAUUGAGCAGUUGCAGGGUAGAAAAUGCAGGUCUUUACACUGUGUUUUUGCAAAACUUCCUAGAUGCAUCCUUUCUCAAAAAAAAAAAAAAAAAAAGAAAAAAAAAGAAAAAAAAAAAGUUUUACUAAGACCCAUCUUCACAAGCUGUACGAAGGAUAGAGCCUAAAUUGCAAAGUACUCUCUGCCUUUAAUAUCCCUUAAAAUCCCUGUGGAAUACUACACUUCCAUUACACAUUAACGCUGGCGUCGGUAGCUGGAUACACACAGAGCAACGUGCAAAAGGCAGUUACUCAGGAGUAAAGACUUCUUUCGUGGAAUUCAAUGCUAAGUCAUAAAUUGUGUUUUAGCAACUGUACUCGCGUAUUCAGAUUUCCGCAGAAACGGGAGCGGGCCUGAGCGCACAGUGCCCGUGUGCCCCUCACGGAGCCCGUGUAUCCUGCACAGAGCCCCUGUGCCCCUCACAGUGCCCCUGUGCCCCUCACAGUGCCCC